rnacentral:lncRNA from 1 species
GCAGACAGAUGCUGAGAGAAGAGCUCAGAUGAAACUAAGUGCUCAACGUUCCUCCAAAACAAAGAUGGAAGGAAUAGAAGUCAUAGUCGGCGACCUAAGCGGGUUGAUGUCACGAAAUUGAACCACGGUGGUGACAACAACAAUUCAGGAAUAGGUGGCAAUGACUCACUUGGUAGUCUUCCACCUCCAGCCAAACUUCAAAAAGUUGCCAAUCAUCGACCAGAACUCGAUCCAAACUCCUCGGACCACGUUGUUGCUAUCACUCAACUCAAAGAACAAAUGGCUUCCCUCCAAAAGCAGGUCACCCAGAAGAAUUUAGCUCUCAGAGAAAAAGAUAAAACGAUUACUGACUUGAAAGCCAAACACUUUACUGAAACAACUGAGCUACGUAACAGAAUGCAGAAAGAAUCAGCUGAGUAUGAUAAAAAAGUUGAGUUCAUGAGUGGUAAAAUCAAGAGUCUUCAGAAAGAAGUUGCAACACUAUCCAAAGUGGUGGGAAGCGAGGCUCUGGACUUCUUAGCAAAAGCAGUGCAGGAGGCGGAGGUAGUGGCAGUGGAACAGAUAGCCCCUCCAUGGGUUAAUCGGUUGGUUAAGUCCAAUUGAAAUGAUUCAACUUAAACUUUGUUAGUUUUUAUCAUAUUAAUUUAUUCAUUUUAAAAAACUGCUCAAAUUUAUGGGACUGCAUGCAUGGCUUGGCACUUGUGUGGAAAUAGCAAUUUUUUUGAAAAUUCAGCAUUUUCAUCACCAUACAAUUUUUAUUAUAAAAUUAAACCACCAUAAAUAUUUUGGACUGAGAUGAAAUGAGUGUUACUGAACGUCAUCCAUGAAUAAAGUCUCAAGUUUGUAUAAGUCUCCCGCAUGAAGGAACAUAUCGAUGGUGAAACUACCAUACCACGUAUCUCGGAAAACUCGAUUUUUCAGGAGAGCAAAAAAACUGUCUGCGUUCCUUAUUUUUGAUAAUUAAAAGGUAAUAAUUCUUGGAGAUAGAGAUGAUAAGAUGCUUUUCACCACGCCUUGAGCAUUUUUGAAGAUAGUCGCAAAAGUGAUGAAAUACGGAGGAAAACCCGAGUUAUGUGUUUUGCGAAGUAGG